rnacentral:rRNA from 1 species
UGUGAUAUGCUCUCAAAGAGUCGAGUUGUUUGGGAAUGCAGCUCUAAAUGGGUGGUAAAUUCCAUCUAAAGCUAAAUAUUGGCGAGAGACCGAUAGCGAACAAGUACCGUGAGGGAAAGAUGAAAAGAACUUUGGAAAGAGAGUUAAACAGUACGUGAAAUUGUUGAAAGGGAAACGCUUAAAGUCAGUCACAUUGGUUAGGGAUCAACCUUGCUUCUGCUGGGUGUAUUUCUUGGCCAAUGGGUCAGCAUCAAUUUUAAUCAAUGGAAAAAGGCUUGGGGAAUGUGGCAUCUUCGGAUGUGUUAUAGACCUUUGUCAUAUACAUUGGUUGGGAUUGAGGAACUCAGCAUGCCAUAUUGGCCGGGUAUUAACCACGUUCAUGCUUAGGAUGCUGGCAUAAUGGCUUUAAUCGACCCGUCUUGAAACACGGACCAAGGAGUCUAACAUACAUGCGAGUGUUUGGGUGAAAAACCCAUGCGCGUAAUGAAAGUGAAAGUUGGGAUCUCAGUCGUAGAGAGC